GCUCCGUUGGUGAACCAGCGGAGGGAUCAUUACCGAGUUUACAACUCCCAAACCCCAUGUGAACCUUACCAAACGUUGCUUCGGCGGGAUGCCCCGGGCGCGGGCCGCAAGGCCUCAGCCCCGGAACCAGGCGCCCGCCGGAGGCCCAAACCAAACUCUUGUUUUUGUAGAAUCUUCUGAGUGGCCUUUUAGGCAAAAAAUGAAUCAAAACUCUCAACAACGGAUCUCUUGGUUCUG
rnacentral:misc_RNA from 1 species